GCCUGGGUGGCUCAGUCAGUUCAGCGUCCAACUUCCACUCAGGUCAUGAUCUCGCGGUUUGUGGGUUUGAGCCCCGCCUCAGGCU
rnacentral:tRNA from 1 species